UAGUGAAUAGUGUAGCGGAAGCACUAAGAGUUUUGGGCUCUUAAGUGGGGGUUCAAGUCCCCCUUCUCUAA
rnacentral:tRNA from 1 species